UUGCUUCGGUGCCAGCAGCCGCGGUAAUUCAGCUCCAAGAGCAUAUAUUAAAGUCGUUGCAGUUAAAAAGCUCGUAGUCGAAUAUCCGGUAUAACGUACCCGGCCCGCAGCUUUUAGGCUCCGCGCUGCCGGCGCACGCUGCCAUCUUUCUAAAAAACGGGUCUGCCACCAACUUGGGGGGUUCGGGAUCUAGAUCAUUUACUUCGAAAAAAUUAGAGUGUUUAAAGCAAGCAAUCGCUCUGAAUACACUAGCACGGAAUAAUAAUCUAGGACUUCGGUUCUAUUUUGUUGGUCUCUAAAACUGAAGUAAUGAUUGAUAGGGACAGUUGGGGGUGCUAGUAUUGGCCGGCCAGAGGUGAAAUUCUUGGAUUCGGUCAAGACUAACUUAUGCGAAAGCAUUCACCCAAGGAUGUCUUCUUUAAUCAAGAACGAAAGUUGGGGGGGAUCAAAAACGAUCAGAUACCGUCGUACUCUCAACCAUAAACUAUGCCAACUAGGGGAUGGGGUGGAACCGUUGCUUUUUUCGACUUCAUCCGCACCUUAUGAGAAAUCAAGUCUUUGGGUUCCGGGGGGGGAAUAUUGGUCCGCAAGGCUGAAACUUAAAGGAAUUGGACGGGAGGGCCACCACCAGGAGUGGCAGCCUGCGGCUUAUUUUGACUCAACACGGGAAAACUUACCACGUCCAGACAUAGGUGGAGGGAUUGACAGAUUGAAUAUCUUCUCAUCAUUCUUAUGGGGGGUGGGGGGGUGGCAUGGCCCGUUCUUAGGUGGGGGGAGAAGUGGUAUUCUGGUCCUGGUUUAACUUCCGGUUAAACGAACGACACCCUCGACCUGCUAAUAAGUUGACUGCAUCUUUUUUGGGGGUGGGGAUUGACUUCCUAGAGGGUACUUUUUUUGUGAUAAGCCAAAAGAGGUUACGAAGCAUUAAGCAUGUCUGUGACUGCCUCUUAAAUAUGGUUGCGUGGGGACCG
rnacentral:rRNA from 1 species